AGGGUAAACGCUGGCGGCGUGCCUAAAACAUGCAAGUCGAACGCACAUCUUUCGGGGUGUGAGUGGCAGACGGCUGAGUAACGCGUGGGUGACGUACCUAUUGGUGGGGAAUAACUGCCCGAAAGGGUGGCUAAUACCGCAUACGCCCGUUGGAGCAGUCCGAUGGGGGAAAGCUUCGCGAGAGGCGCUGAUGGAGCGGCCCGCGUCCGAUUAGCUAGUUGGUGGGGUAACGGCCUACCAAGGCGACGAUCAGUAGCUGGUCUCAGAGGAUGAUCAGCCAGACUGGGACUGAGACACGGCCCAGACUCCUACGGGAGGCAGCAGUUAGGAAUUUUUGGGCAAUGGGCGCAAGCCUGACCCAGCAACGCCGCGUGGGUGAAGAAGGCCUUCGGGUUGUAAAGCCUUUCUGAGGGAGAUGAUGACGGUACCUCAGGAAGAAGCACCGGCUAACUACGUGCCAGCAGCCGC
rnacentral:rRNA from 1 species